AUAACACAGGUGUAUUUCCCCAGGAUAAAUGGUGCAAACGUAUACCAUCUGUAGGACCUGCAUUGAGGAGAAGGUUGUCUGUGUCGGGGCCCUUCAAAAAACUAAGAUCUGAAAACUGGACUGUCCUGCUCUCCUUGUAAAGCCCAAAAGUCUCAUCUAGCAGAAACAGUAAGCGGUGGAGAGAGAAUUAUAAAAGUUAGAGGAUGAAGACCUAAUCCUGGACUGUAGCUUUGAAUGGUUUGUGAUGCUGGAGGACUCCUAUAAGAACGUGUUUAUCAUGGAUAUUCCCAAGAAAUACUGUGGACAGCCUGGAAGAACCGGAGGACUCCGAUGUUGGUGGAGAUGAAACUCCACUUGUGUUUUCACCCGAACCAAGUCCGGCACCCACGCCAGCUGCAGAGCCCUCUCAACCGGCCAUGCCAAGUGGAGUGCAGACAGAAGGGAGUCCUCAGACAUCACCGUAGCGUCCUGCCAGGACAAGGAGGAGUGGCCACCAGUCUUCCUCUGGGCUAGUAACUAGGGAAAUGAUUGAUGCCCGGGUUAUUGAGUUCCUAGCCAAGAGGAGGAGUGAGUGCCAAGAGGAAGCAUUGCGCCCUUAUUGCGUGGUGAACCAAAAUCAAGACAUAAUUUAUGUGUAGCCGGAGUGGCAAUAGUCUUUGAACUGUUUUCUGUGGAAAACCCAGGAGAUAUACUCUCCCAAUUAAAUCAUUUGCGUCUGCAAAACAUGCUGCAACACUCCCACCAUGCCACCAGCUACCUACCACAACCACCCCAUGGCCAACCUAGUUCUGGCCAUCCUUUUCGCUGGUCCACAGAUCCAAAACAAGCAGCAGCCCAUUCUUCUUCUGUGGGCCCUUUUCCAUCAGAGGCCCAACGACCUGAGGCACGACAGGCCAUCACAUUUUCUAAACCCGGCCCGUUCAGUCGGGAAUUGUUCGAUUUGUGAAAAAAUAUGAAUAUACUGCAAUAAGUAUUUCUGUUCUUUUAUGAUCAUUUUUGGAAUACCAGAUUCAUGUGUAUUAUUGGUUUCUUUGUCAACUUUAAGAAUAGUGGGUCUCCCUAAAAAUUUAAAAAAAGAAACAGCCCUCUACACACAAAUCAACCUUUUUGGUU